GUACUCGAGAGAGAGCAGCUUCGAGCCGCGUCGAUUUGAAAGCAAUGAGCUGUCUGUAUGUCUGUGUGCGUGUGUAACUCUCUGCGUAUAUAAGCGUAUAGUCAUGACCCUGAGACAGAUUAACGCACACACACACACACACACACACACACACACACACACACACACACACAAGUGCACAAUCGAUGUAUUAUAUAGAGGUAUUUAAGGUAAUGUGUGUGUGUUGCAGUGUUACAAUACACGCAACUGUACGUGACGAUAUGACGUAAAAAGGGGGAGAUUCGCACUCGCGUAGAUCCAUUAAUUGCACCGCAAGUAUAUCAUUAUAAUACCGAUAUCGUGUGUGUGUGUACUAUAAGUACGGCACGUUUUGACAAGUCCUGCUGCUCGCGCUGGCGACGACACGCGUGCGCGACUUCGAGAAUUGUUGCUAUGUAUAUCGACGCAGUAAUAUUUAAUUGCACUGUCUAUAAUUUUUUAAACUUCUUGAGAGACUUAUUACGGCUCCUAUACCUGUAUUAAACCCGUUGUUGUCGAACGAUGAUUCGACAAAUUUACGGAGAACGAUUGCAAUGAAAUCGACGUGUUUUUUUUUUUUUUUCUUUCAUUGUACAACGAUGCAACUUCCUUUUUGGUCAAUCUCCGUCUUAUCGAUUACGCCCGCGAUUGUUGUUGUUGAUGUUUUUUUCUCUUUUUUUCGUAGCGAGCAGCCUUAAACGGAGCUUUCAAAAGCUGCGGCCGGAAAAUCGAUAAAGUACAUUUCCGUGCUAAAUAGAUCUUGGGCAAUAUAUUGGGCCCUGUACUUUUGUCGAUUCAUCGCCGCAAGGAUCCUUUUCUUCAAGUUGUGGAGCAAGUAAAAAUACAAAUGAGUAAAGUCUUUUGAGUCAAUUUGAAAAUAAAUUAUUUAUGCUGUUUCACUGGUACGAUGAAACAAGCCUUCACAUAGACUGUUAUUGAUACUUGUAAAAGGAUAGACCCCAACUGAGGAAGUGCUUGUUAAACUAUUUAAAUUAGACCCGAGCUAAAAAAAAAAUAAAAAAAUAUACCAGUCGUGGCUGUUUCUGUAUUUUUUUGUGGAACUAUUGUUUGGUUAAUAUCAUUUUCGCAGUUCGAAUAAGCCAUCCCUAAUCCAAAUCCGGC